GCUUGUUUAGUAUAAGUGAGUAUAGCUGCCUUCCAAGUAGUUGGUUUAAGUCUUUAAAACAAGCA
rnacentral:tRNA from 1 species